rnacentral:rRNA from 1 species
UUGUGGUUAAAAAGCUCGUAGUUGGAUCUCGGCGGACUAAGGGCGGUUUGCUUGCUAGUAUUACUGCCCUAUAGUCCGUAGUUUUGCCAGAGGUUUCGGGGUGCUCUUAAUCGAGUGUCCCGGGAUGCUGGCAGGUUUACUUUGAAAAAAUUAGAGUGCUCAGAGCAGGCUAUUACGCCUGAAUAUUCGUGCAUGGAAUAAUAGAAUAGGAAGUCGUUUCUAUUUUGUUGGUUUUCGGAAAUCGACUUAAUGAUUAAUAGGGACAGUCGGGGGCAUUUGUAUUCAAACGACAGAGGUGAAAUUCUUGGACCGUUUGAAGACAGACUACUGCGAAAGCAUUUGCCAAGAAUGUUUUCAUUAAUCAAGAACGAAAGUUAAAGGUUCGAAGGCGAUUAGAUACCGCCCUAGUUUUAACCAUAAACGAUGCCAGCUAGCGAUCUGCGGACGUUUUUUUUGUAGACUCCGCAGGAAGCUUCCGGGAAACCAAAGCAUUUGGGUUCCAGGGGAAGUAUGGUUGCAAAGCUGAAACUUAAAGGAAUUGACGGAAGGGCACCACCAGGAGUGGAGCCUGUGGCUUAAUUUGACUCAACACGGGAAAUCUCACCAGGCCCGGACACUGGAAGGAUUGACAGAUUGAUAGCUCUUUCU